rnacentral:tRNA from 1 species
UGUAGCUCAGCUGACAGAGUGCUUGCCUAGCACGCAAGAGGCCCUGGGUUCAAUGCCCAGCA